AUGGUAGGAUAGAGGCCUACCAUGGUGGUAACGGGUAACGGGGUGUUAGGGCACGACACCGGAGAGGGAGCCUGAGAAACGGCUACCACAUCCAAGGAAGGCAGCAGGCGCGCAAAUUACCCAAUCCCGACACGGGGAGGUAGUGACAAUAGAUAACAAUACAGGGCUCUUUUGGGUCUUGUAAUUGGAAUGAGUACAAUUUAAAUCUCUUAACGAGGAACAAUUGGAGGGCAAGUCUGGUGCCAGCAGCCGCGGUAAUUCCAGCUCCAAUAGCGUAUAUUAAAGUUGUUGCAGUUAAAAAGCUCGUAGUUGAAUUUCGGGAUCAAUAUGUCGGUCGUGCUUCGGUACGUACUGGUAUCAUUGGUUUCUCCUUUCUGACGAACCAUGAUGUCAUUAAUUUGGUGUUAUGGGGAGUUAGGACUGUUACUUUGAAAAAAUUAGAGUGUUUAAAGCAGGCUUUAGCUUGAAUACAUUAGCAUGGAAUAAUGAAAUAGGACGUUCGAACCUAUUUUGUUGGUUUCUAGGAUCAACGUAAUGAUUAAUAGGGAUAGUUGGGGGCAUUAGUAUUCAAUUGUCAGAGGUGAAAUUCUUGGAUUUAUUGAAGACUAACUACUGCGAAAGCAUUUGCCAAGGAUGUUUUCAUUAAUCAAGAACGAAAGUUAGGGGAUCGAAGACGAUCAGAUACCGUCGUAGUCUUAACCAUAAACUAUGCCGACUAGGGAUCGGAUGAUGUUAAUUUUUUAAUGACUCAUUCGGCGCCUUACGGGAAACCAAAGUGUUUGGG
rnacentral:rRNA from 1 species